CUUUACUGUAGCCUGGUAUUGGGUUCGGGCUUUGACUGCGCAGGAUAGGUGGGAGACUGAGAAGUGUGCCUUGUGGGGCACAUAGAGUCAACGGUGAGAUACCACUCUGUCAGAGCUAGAAUUCUAACCUUCACCCGUGAUCCGGGGAAGGAACCGUAUCAGGUGGGCAGUUUGACUGGGGCGGUCGCCUCCUAAAAGGUAACGGAGGCGCGCAAAGGUGUUCUCAGGCUGGUUGGAAAUCAGCCGUAGAGUGUAAAGGCAGAAGAACGCUUGACUGUGAGAGUGACAACUCAAGCAGGGUGGAAACACGGCCUUAGUGAUCCGACGGCACCGCGUGGAAGGGCCGUCGCUCAACGGAUAAAAGUUA
rnacentral:rRNA from 1 species